UAGCUAGUUGGUGAGGUAACGGCUUACCAAGGCGACGAUCUGUAGCGGGUCUGAGAGGAUGAUCCGCCACACUGGAACUGAGACACGGUCCAGACUCCUACGGGAGGCAGCAGUGGGGAAUUUUGGACAAUGGGGGCAACCCUGAUCCAGCCAUGCCGCGUGAGUGAAGAAGGCCUUCGGGUUGUAAAGCUCUUUCGGCCGGGAGGAAAUCGCAUGGGCCAAUACCCUGUGUGGAUGACGGUACCGGAAUAAGAAGCACCGGCUAACUACGUGCCAGCAGCCGCGGUAAUACGUAGGGUGCGAGCGUUAAUCGGAAUUACUGGGCGUAAAGCGUGCGCAGGCGGUUUUGUAAGACAGGCGUGAAAUCCCCGGGCUCAACCUGGGAACUGCGUUUGUGACUGCAAGGCUAGAGUACGGCAGAGGGGGGUGGAAUUCCACGUGUAGCAGUGAAAUGCGUAGAGAUGUGGAGGAACACCAAUGGCGAAGGCAGCCCCCUGGGUCGAUACUGACGCUCAUGCACGAAAGCGUGGGUAGCAAACAGGAUUAGAUACCCUGGUAGUCCACGCCCUAAACUAUGUCAACUAGGUGUUGGGUGGGUAAAACCAUUUAGUACCGUAGCUAACGCGUGAAGUUGACCGCCUGGGGAGUACGGCCGCAAGGUUAAAACUCAAAGGAAUUGACGGGGACCCGCACAAGCGGUGGAUGAUGUGGAUUAAUUCGAUGCAACGCGAAAAACCUUACCUACCCUUGACAUGCCAGGAACUUGCCAGAGAUGGCUUGGUGCCCGAAAGGGAGCCUGGACACAGGUGCUGCAUGCUGUCGUCAGCUCGUGUCGUGAUAUGUUGGGUUAAGUCCCGCAACGAGCGCAACCCUUGUCGUUAAUUGCCAUCAUUUAGUUGGGCACUUUAGCGAGACUGCCGGUGACAAACCGGAGGAAGGUGGGGAUGACGUCAAGUCCUCAUGGCCCUUAUGGGUAGGGCUUCACACGUCAUACAAUGGUCGGUACAGAGGGUCGCCAAGCCGCGAGGUGGAGCCAAUCCCAGAAAGCCGAUCGUAGUCCGGAUUGCAGGCUGCAACUCGCCUGCAUGAAGUCGGAAUCGCUAGUAAUCGUGGAUCAGCAUGUCACGGUGAAUACGUUCCCGGGUCUUGUACACACCGCCCGUCACACCAUGGGAGCGGGUUCCGCCAGAAGUAGGUAGCCUAACCGCAAGGAGGGCGCUUACCACGGCGGGGUUCGUGACUGGGGUGAAGUCGGAACAAGGUAGCCGUAGGGGAACCUGCGGCUG
rnacentral:rRNA from 1 species